rnacentral:rRNA from 1 species
GACGCUCAGGCACGAAAGCGUGGGGAGCGAACAGGAUUAGAUACCCUGGUAGUCCACGCCGUAAAACUAUGAUCACUCGUUGUUGGCAAUACACAGUCAGUGACCAAGCGAAAGCGAUAAGUGAUCCACCUGGGGAGUACGAUCGCAAGGUUGAAACUCAAAGGAAUUGACGGGGGCCCGCACAAGCGGUGGAGCAUGUGGUUUAAUUCGAUGAUACGCGAGGAACCUUACCUGGGCUCAAAUGUAAGUUGACAGUUUCUGAAAGGGAAUUUUCUUCGGACAAUUUACAAGGUGCUGCAUGGUUGUCGUCAGCUCGUGCCGUGAGGUGUCGGGUUAAGUCCCAUAACGAGCGCAACCCCUACUCUUAGUUGCCAUCAGAUAAUGCUGGGGACUCUAGGAGAACUGCCUACGCAAGUAGAGAGGAAGGUGGGGAUGACGUCAAAUCAGCACGGCCCUUACGUCCAGGGCUACACACGUGCUACAAUGGCCGGUACAGAGGGCAGCCACCUGGUGACAGGGAGCGAAUCUCUAAAGCCGGUCUCAGUUCGGAUCGAAGUCUGCAACCCGACUUCGUGAAGCUGGAAUCGCUAGUAAUCGCGCAUCAGCCAUGGCGCGGUGAAUACGUUCCCGGGCCUUGUACACACCGCCCGUCAAGCCAUGGAAGCUGGGGGUACCUGAAGUCGGUGACCAUUUAGGAGCCGCCUAGGGUAAAACUAGUGACUGGGGCUAAGUCGUAACAAGGUA